rnacentral:rRNA from 1 species
CUCGUCGGCUACGAGGACGACGCUGGCGGCGUGCUUAACACAUGCAAGUCGAACGGAAAGGCCCUGCUUUUGUGGGGUGCUCGAGUGGCGAACGGGUGAGUAACACGUGAGUAACCUGCCCUUGACUUUGGGAUAACUUCAGGAAACUGGGGCUAAUACCGGAUAGGAGCUCCUGCUGCAUGGUGGGGGUUGGAAAGUUUCGGCGGUUGGGGGUGGACUCGCGGCUUAUCAGCUUGUUGGUGGGGUAGUGGCUUACCAAGGCUUUGACGGGUAGCCGGCCUGAGAGGGUGACCGGCCACAUUGGGACUGAGAUACGGCCCAGACUCCUACGGGAGGCAGCAGUGGGGAAUAUUGCACAAUGGGCGGAAGCCUGAUGCAGCAACGCCGCGUGCGGGAUGACGGCCUUCGGGUUGUAAACCGCUUUCGCCUGUGACGAAGCGUGAGUGACGGUAAUGGGUAAAGAAGCACCGGCUAACUACGUG